CUCUGUUUGGCGCGAUUCGGCGUGUUCGAAGCAUUGCAAGUCACGGCACAGCUUUUCAGCCUGCAUCACAGAUUCACUAGGCCUAUGGAAAUCCCCAUGGUGAAUCCACUCAUCGUUUUCCUCUAAAUUGAAGGUGCUGUAAGGUGUCUUCUCUCAUCUUUUUUUUCCUUGGCAGCUAUACAGCAGAUGGUGUGUAGGCUACUCUUCAUAUUGGAUGUGGAGUGAGGUGUCCUUCCCUUUUAGGAGCUAAACUACCUAAACAAGGUCAUGUACACGAGGGCUGUUUGGAGGGAGGGUACCCGAGAGGAGGAGGGUGUAGUUCCUGACAAUUGGAUUGACAGAGAAAUGAAAACCGUCAGAUGGCCAUGUACAAUGAGCGCCACAAAAACAAAG